UGCGAUUGAACACUUCCUUCU
rnacentral:misc_RNA from 1 species